rnacentral:rRNA from 1 species
UACGUAGGGUGCAAGCGUUGUCCGGAAUUAUUGGGCGUAAAGAGCUCGUAGGCGGUUUGUCGCGUCUGGUGUGAAAAUCCAGGGCUUAACCCUGGACCUGCAUCGGGUACGGGCAGACUAGAGUGCGGUAGGGGAGAUCGGAAUUCCUGGUGUAGCGGUGAAAUGCGCAGAUAUCAGGAAGAACACCUAUGGCGAAGGCAGCUCUCUGGGACGGUACUGACGCUGAGACGCGAAAGCGUGGGGAGCGAACAGG